rnacentral:rRNA from 1 species
AAAAACAUAUUUAAUAGAUAUUAUUAUUAAUACAUCCUGCUCAAUGAGCAAUUCAAUAGCCGCAGUUCAUACUGUGCUAAGGUAGCAUAAUCAUUUGUCUUUUAAUUAAAGACUAGAAUGAAAGGAUAAACAUUUAAAUUAUUAUUUAAAAUUUAAUAAUUUAAUUUAUUUUAAAUGUAAAAAAACAUUUAUAUAAAGAAAGACGAAAAGACCCUAUUGAACUUUACUGAAGUUUAACUGGGGCAGUUAAUAAAUUAACAUUUUUAAUAAAAUUAAUUUAAUAAAUGACCCGAUUUAAUCGAUUAAAUGAUCAAGUUACCAUAGGGAUAACAGCGUAAUAUUUUUCAGUAGAUCUUAUAUAAAAAAAGGAUUGCGACCUCGAUGUUGAAUUAAUUAUUCUAUUAAAUGCAACAAUUUAAAAAGAAAGUCUGUUCGACUUUUAAUCAAUUACAUGAUCUG